rnacentral:rRNA from 1 species
CAGUCGCCGCGGGAAAACGAGGGGGGCAAGCGUUGUUCGGAAUUAUUGGGCGUAAAGAGCUCGUAGGCGGUUUGUCGCGUCUGCUGUGAAAUCCCGAGGCUCAACCUCGGGCUUGCAGUGGGUACGGGCAGACUAGAGUGCGGUAGGGGAGAUUGGAAUUCCUGGUGUAGCGGUGGAAUGCGCAGAUAUCAGGAGGAACACCGAUGGCGAAGGCAGAUCUCUGGGCCGUAACUGACGCUGAGGAGCGAAAGCGUGGGGAGCGAACAGGAUUAGAUACCCCGGUAGUCCCUGUCUCUUAUAC